rnacentral:ncRNA from 4 species
UACAGAGGGUGCGAGCGUUAAUCGGAAUUACUGGGCGUAAAGCGAGUGUAGGUGGCUCAUUAAGUCACAUGUGAAAUCCCCGGGCUUAACCUGGGAACUGCAUGUGAUACUGGUGGUGCUAGAAUAUGUGAGAGGGAAGUAGAAUUCCAGGUGUAGCGGUGAAAUGCGUAGAGAUCUGGAGGAAUACCGAUGGCGAAGGCAGCUUCCUGGCAUAAUAUUGACACUGAGAUUCGAAAGCGUGGGUAGCAAACAGG